UUUAUUUCGUAAAAUCAAAAUGAGCAAAGUGUUUCAAAAAAUUAUCCUAUAUUUUAUAACAUCACUUUUAAUUGCUUAUAUAUGUAACUGUGACAAUGCUGACUUUUAUCAAAGGGACACCAAACUUACUAACGAUCAUAUUGAAUUACUUUCCUACAAUAAAAGUGUUGCUUCGCAUGUUGUUCUGAGAAACCAAAAAUUCAAUCGUACUACACGAACAUUUGGAGGUGACGUAACUACUACGCGUGAUUUCGGAAUGAAAUUGUCGAUGGGCGUAAUUGGAUAUAAAUUCAUUUCGAAUCAAUAUAAGAAAUUUGCCCCGUUUGCGAUGUUUUUCAGCGUAUGUGAUGCUUUGGUGAGGAACAGUUUUGGUGUCUCGGUUUUAACUACUACGAAGGGGGUCAUAUUCCAUUAAUCAAUUCUCUAUGGACGAAAGUAAACUACCACCAUAUCUGCCAGAAGGCAAAUAUCGGAUUGAUCUGUCGAUUCAUGAAAAUGGGCAAGAGCUUGGAUUGUUUUCUUGGUAUGGAGCUGU